rnacentral:rRNA from 1 species
CUACUGGAAACGGUAGCUAAUACCGCAUAACGUCGCAAGACCAAAGUGGGGGACCUUCGGGCCUCAUGCCAUCAGAUGUGCCCAGAUGGGAUUAGCUAGUAGGUGGGGUAACGGCUCACCUAGGCGACGAUCCCUAGCUGGUCUGAGAGGAUGAUCAGCCACACUGGAACUGAGACACGGUCCAGACUCCUACGGGAGGCAGCAGUGGGGAAUAUUGCACAAUGGGCGCAAGCCUGAUGCAGCCAUGCCGCGUGUAUGAAGAAGGCCUUCGGGUUGUAAAGUACUUUCAGCGGGGAGGAAGGCGAUAAGGUUAAUAACCUUGUCGAUUGACGUUACCCGCAGA